ensembl:lncRNA
GCUGAGUGACAAAAAGAAGGCCUUCAUGUCAGGGGUCAAGGAGAAACUGUGAGUGGUUCAGAGAGAGCUGAAACAGGAGAUCAGGGCGGGCAAGGAGGAGUUACUACAGGAGGAGGAACUACUGCAGGAGGAUGAGGAACUACUAUAGGAGGAGGAGCUACUGCAGGAGGAGGAGGAACUACUAUAGGAGGAGGAGCUACUACAAGCGGAGAAACUACUACAGGAAGAGGUGCUACUACAGGAGGAGGAACUACUGCAGGAGGAGGAACUACUAUAGGAGGAGGAGCUAAUACAGGAGGAGGAGGAGCUACUACAGGAAGAGGAGGAACUACUAUAGGAGGAGGAGCUACUACAAGCGGAGGAACUACUACAGGAAGAGGUGCUACUACAGGAAGAGGAGGAACUACUACAGGAAGAGGAACUACUGCAGGAGGAGGAGGAACUACUGCAGGAGGAGGAGCUACUACAGGAGGAGGAGGGGCUACUACAGGAAGAGGAGGGACUAAUAUAGGAGGAGGAGCUACUACAAGCGGAGGUGCUAC